rnacentral:hammerhead_ribozyme from 1 species
GUACAUCUGACGUGUCCGAAAUAGGACAAAACGCGCGUCAAACUGGAU